AGUUUGUAAAAACAUCCGCCAAAUACGUGUCUUUGUCAACAUGUGAGCCACGUCUAUCUUGGAGUCUUACCACGUCAACACCCACCGAACUCCUCGCUUCUCUCUAUACAUACAGUUAUAUAUAUACGUGUUCUCUUUCUCUCUAUAUAUAUUUAUUUAUAUGUAAGUGUAUAUACAUACAUAUAUAUAUAUAUGCAUACAUAUCUACAUAAAAAUAUACACACAUAAAUUAUAUAUAUAUUUAAUACUUUCUCUGUGUCUGGAAAAUUUACAUACACCCAGUAAUGAAGCCGUGAUUGCAUACCUUCGGGAUAUAUUAUAUACACUCAGGACUAUCUCUUUCACCAGUGUAUAUAAAUAUAUGUAUAUACAUCGAUCUAUCCAUCCAUCCAUCGAUCCAUUGAUCUCUAAGGCUGCUGGUUUAAAGAUCUAAAGAAACCCAUUCAUAUAUAUAUAUAUGUGUGUGUAUGUGUUUAGCUCUUAAGAAGGGCUCCGGUCAUCGUUUUGUUGUGUCCCAACGGAUUUUACUUGGCGAGAGCGCUUUGAUAUAGGAACAACGCGCACCCGUUUAUUUAUAUAAAUCUAUAUUCAAUUCCUUUGGGACUAAACCACCCUCUUGCAACUAUGUCGAAAUAUAAGGACAAACUGGACGGCAAGGAGCUAGACCUGAGUAUGUGCUCGCUGAACACGAUCAGCGUCCGGGAUAUCGCCCUGUUACCGAGGGCCACGUCUUUGAAUUUAUCCUACAACCGUCUCACCCAGCUACCCAGCAACUUCUGCUCCAGUCUCACGCACCUCACCCGGCUCGAUCUCAGCAACAACAGUCUCACCGAGCUACCGGACGACUUCGGUUCGAUGGUCAACCUCAAGCACUUGGACCUUCUCGGCAACCAGCUGACCCUCUUGCCCCUGACGUUUGGCGAGCUGGCCAAACUGAAGUGGCUCGACGUGAAAGACAACCCUCUCAACCCAGUGCUGCGCAGCGUGGCCGGCGACUGUCUCAACGAUGCCGAGUGCCGCAAGUGCGCCAGCCUGCUGGUCAGCUACAUGAAGCAGUUUCGAGCCGACUUCGAGCGACUGGAAGAGGCCCGUGAAAUCAGACGGGCGGAGAGAGAAGCAGCCAGGCUGGAAGUCCGACGACAGAAAGAAAAAGCAAAGAAAUUACUUGAAAAAGAAAAGCGCAGGAAGGAACAUGAGACGAACAGGAUUCUUGAAGUUUCUGCUCAGACUGCUGCCCUUUACGAGUCCGCCAACGCUAACCCGAAAACCAACAGGGGUAACCGGAGCAACAACAGUACCCCUACAGAUCCUAGGACUGCUACUACGCCCACGACACCCAUCAAUAGCAACAACAACAACAUCAAUAAGAACAAUCAGCAGAAAGCUGAACGUGUGAUGUCCGUUACUUCUACGCCAAAGGCCAAAAACCACGCCGCGACGACCGUGACCACCACCACCACCACCGAUAACAACAAAGCGUCACCCAAGUCACCAAAGGCUGCUAAGAAAAACAACAACAACAACAACGAAACCAACACCGGCAACAACAACAACAACAACAUCAAACACACCAACAAAACGUCGGCCGGUCCCAGAACGGGCAAGCCGAGCCCUUCCUCGUCCGGCCCCUCUUGCUGCACCUCCUCCUCCUCCUCCUCCCUCUUCACCGCUUUGGCACUGUUAGCUCUCCUGGUCGCCUUCGUGGCGCUGUUUGCGCUCCCUGUGUCACCGGACAAUAAACUGUACGACGAAAUCCGACGGAGGGCCUCAAACAUGAUGGCCACCCUAUCGGGAACUGAUGAGAAAUAAACGGUCAAAGAUAUGAUGUUUAAAUAUCUGCCAAAAAACAGAAUUGGUAUUUUCUGCAAGUCACCUUGCGUCAUAUUAAAUUUGACAUAUCUCAAAAGAGUUCCAGACAUGACAUUCCACAACAAAAAACAGAUUGGGAUAUAAAACUGCUUUCCAAAGUAAAGGGUAACAAAAUUUUGAGUGGAGAUAUCUAAUUACCACAAUGAAAGAAUUAAUGAACUAUCAGAGAAAUUUGUUGCAGUAUUAUUAUAUUUCAUGGAAAAUAUUAAAAAUUUGUUUCAUCAAAA
rnacentral:misc_RNA from 1 species